CGGAAAUUACAAGGUGCUGCAUGGUUGUCGUCAGCUCGUGCCGUGAGGUGUCGGGUUAAGUCCCAUAACGAGCGCAACCCCUAUCGUUAGUUGCUAGCAGGUAAUGCUGAGGACUCUAGCGAGACUGCCACCGUAAGGUGUGAGGAAGGUGGGGAUGACGUCAAAUCAGCACGGCCCUUACGUCCAGGGCCACACACGUGUUACAAUGGCCAGUACAAAGGGCAGCUACCAGGCGACUGGAUGCUAAUCUCAAAAGCUGGUCUCAGUUCGGAUCGGAGUCUGCAACUCGACUCCGUGAAGUUGGAUUCGCUAGUAAUCGUAUAUCAGCAAUGAUACGGUGAAUACGUUCCCGGGCCUUGUACACACC
rnacentral:rRNA from 1 species